CUAAACCUCUGUAUGUCUUGGUAGAGCCUGCAGUCAGCUCCCCAGGAACCAACAUUUUACAAUAGAAGAUUGAAUGGGUGAAUCACAGGACCUUCAAAGACUUUGCUCCCUCACAAGUUAAAAUUCUAAACAGAAAUUCUGCUCACAUGAAUAACUUGAUUCAAUUACAGGAGAAAGACCAUGAUAAUUAAAAUUUUGAUUGCAUUGAUUAUCAAGUUGCUGGAAACUCCUGCUACCACCUUGAGCAGAGAGCAAUUUCCAGCCCCAGAAGUGAGCUGCCUUGUUUAGGAGUGUCAGGUAAAAUAAGAAGUUUUAUAAUGUGUCUAUCGUCACAAUUUGUAGCACAUCCCAGACUCCAAUUAUAUCUAUUGGUCAAACCCAGCCUCUUUGUUUCUGCUCCUAUGGUGGGCCAUAG
rnacentral:lncRNA from 1 species